GCCUUGAUGGUCUAAUGGUUAGGACAUUGUGUUGUGGCCACAAUAACCCGGGUUCGAAUCCCGGUCAGGGCA
rnacentral:tRNA from 1 species